rnacentral:rRNA from 1 species
GACGAACGCUGGCGGCGUGCUUAACACAUGCAAGUCGAACGGAAAGGCCCUGCUUUUGUGGGGUGCUCGAGUGGCGAACGGGUGAGUAACACGUGAGUAACCUGCCCUUGACUUUGGGAUAACUUCAGGAAACUGGGGCUAAUACCGGAUAGGAGCUCCUGCUGCAUGGUGGGGGUUGGAAAGUUUCGGCGGUUGGGGAUGGACUCGCGGCUUAUCAGCUUGUUGGUGGGGUAGUGGCUUACCAAGGCUUUGACGGGUAGCCGGCCUGAGAGGGUGACCGGCCACAUUGGGACGGAGAUACGGCCCAGACUCCUACGGGAGGCAGAAGUGGGGAAUAUUGCACAAGGGGCGGAGGCCUGAUGCAGCAACGCCGCGUGCGGGAUGACGGCCUUCGGGUUGUAAACCGCUUUCGCCUGUGACGAAGCGUGAGUGACGGUAAUGGGUAAAGAAGCACCGGCUAACUACGU